rnacentral:lncRNA from 1 species
CUUCUGCACAGUUCCAAUUAAUAUUGAUUUUACCACAAGAUUAGUAAACAUGAAUUUAUUUAGUGGCUGGAGGUAAGUAAUUUGUUCAAAAGGAGAAGGCAGGUAUAGGAAGACCGGGCGUAUCCUAAUUGAUUUGGCCUCCUUUUUAGUGAAAUCUGUGUAGUUUUGACAAAUAUGUUUUUGCUUCUCAAACUUUGAUGUUUUCUCUAUAAAAAUAUUUGAUCUGGGUAAAUUUAGAAAGUUAUGGAAGCUAUGGAAGCUUGUAAAUAAUCUUAAGGAGUAAGAAAUUU